UAAGGGAUAUUGGGCAAUGGGCGAAAGCCUGACCCAGCAACGCCGCGUGGAGGAUGACGGCCUUCGGGUUGUAAACUCCUUUUGUCGGGGACGAGACAAGGACGGUACCCGGCGAAGAAGUCACGGCUAACUACGUGCCAGCAGCCGCGGUAAAACGUAGGUGGCAAGCGUUAUCCGGAUUUACUGGGCGUAAAGCGUGUGCAGGCGGAUGGCCAAGUGGUGUAUGAAAGCUCCAGGCUUAACCUGGAGAGGUUAUGCCAGACUGGCCGUCUUGAGGCAGAGAGAGGGACAUGGAAUUCCGGGUGUAGUGGUGAAAUGCGUAGAGAUCCGGAGGAACUCCAGAGGCGAAGGCGGUGUCCUGGCUCUGACCUGACGCUCAGACACGAAAGCAUGGGGAGCGAACGGG
rnacentral:rRNA from 1 species